AGCCGUGUGAUGAGAACAGAGCGAACUAUUCUUUCGCCUUUUACUAAAGAAUACCGUGUGCUCGUCACUAUAAGCGGCAUACGCCAAUUUUUGGAGGGGUAUUACUUGUUGGAUGCC
rfam:Gossypium raimondii Chr03_contig_214, whole genome shotgun sequence.